rfam:Pseudogymnoascus pannorum VKM F-4517 (FW-2822) contig_1926, whole genome shotgun sequence.
ACAUACGACCAUAGACUCAAGAGAAUUGGGCAUCCCGUCCUCUCUGCCAUACACAAGCUUGAGAUCGGUGGAUUAGUAGUUGGGUGGGUGACCACCAGCGAAUACCCACUGUUGUAUGUU